rnacentral:lncRNA from 1 species
AGGGAGAGUGCGGUUCUCAUUCAAGCAGCCAGAUACUGCAUUUCCCAAGGGAAAUUAUAUUGAAGGUCCUCUCAAGACUGUUGGGGUCGAAAACGGUUGCAAUGAAGUUAACGUCCAAAUUCCCGCAAAAUACAAGUAUGUCUUUUCGCAACAAAUCAUGCUCGGUUAAGAGAACGUCACAACGUAUGUUCCCGAGAUAAAUCUUCGUUCGAAUUCUAUUCAAAUCAAACAUAAGCCAUCGGAAACAUACCCAGACCGGUUACGGAUA